AUAAUAGUGGAAGUGAGAUACAGCCCUGUAUAAGGUGCUGCUAUGGGACUUACCCACUCGAGGAUUUGUUCUACUCUUUUUUGGAUCUGCAUCGCUGCAAACGCGGUAUGUUCUCGCAGGUGCAGGUCCCGCAGUGUCUACGCGUCUCAGUGCUCACGGGCACUGAGUUCCCUGUAGUGCCCGUUGGCCUGCGGUGCUCCACAGCGCGGUGUAGUGCUCACGGCACUGAGCCGCCCGUCUACCGUUUGCCUGCGGUGCUCCAACGCGGUUCAGUCCGCUCAGGGAGCUGGCCGCUCGCAACCGCAGGUAAGGUGGCUUAACGCGGUGCAGUGCUCCCCACUGUGCCGCUCCUUCCUUAAUUGGGCCCGCAGUGCUCCAACGCGGUGCAAGUCCUCUCGGGGAACUGGCCGCUCGCGACGCAGGCCCAGCAGCUCCAACGCGUACCCGGUGCUCACGGGCACCGACCGCUCGCCGCUACCUCCAGUCUCCCAGCCCCACGGACCCAUACAGCGCUCCUUACCCUGUAGGUCCCUGGGCUGUUUCCCGAGUCGUCAGACCGACGGCUCCGGAGUGCUCCACCAGCUGUCGGCGACCCGUACACCUGCUGGAGCUAAAGUCGCACCCGCUCCCGCCAAGGGAGACCGUCGUGCCACCGGCCGUUGCUGGCUGCCUGCUCCUACAUAGCAGCUCUCCCCCGCCAGCUUUCCACAGCCUUCCUGUAAAGAAAGCUCUGGAGGGUAAAGAACUCAAAAGAUUCUCAACCAUCAGAGGAGAAAUGUCAAGUACUUUGGAUCCGUCUUCACUGAGGAGGAUACAAGCAAUCUUCCUGAUGUACUAGUGGCCAGAGGAUCUCUGGUGACGGAGGAAUUGAAGGUGUGUGGUAAUGCAUACAGAAACCAUCUGGUGUGGAAGCAAAUAGCACCCCUCAGAUGCAAGCAUCAAGCCAAAAAGCUCGCAUCUAUCCGAUGUCACUUACUCUUCAGAAAGGGGUUCUACACGGAAUGGAGUGAGCAGUGAAAUGUAGGGAAGCACUCCUUCAUACAGUUGAGCCCAGAUUAAAAAUAUACAAUGUACAUAACUAACUAUGUAACCAAAAAUGUUUUAAAUUGCUUCCUACAAUGCUUCAACAACUCACGGUAUAUCAAACCAUCAAUUUUUCUUUUUUGAAAAGAUGAAGUCAUUUCAUUCCAGGUAAAUGGCAAACAGAUCAAUAUUCAGUUAAUCGUCAUCAGGUGCAAGGGACUUAUAUUUGGGGUACCUGUACA